rnacentral:rRNA from 1 species
CCUACGGGAGGCAGCAGUGGGGAAUAUUGGUCAAUGGACGCAAGUCUGACCCAGCAACGCCGCGUGAAGGAAUAAGGCUUUCCGGGUGUAAACUUCUUUUAAGGGGGAAGAGCAGAAGACGGUACCCCUUGAAUAAGCCACUGCUAACUACGGGCCAGCAGCCGCGGUAAUACGUAGGUGGCAAGCGUUGUCCGGAUUUACUGGGUGUAAAGGGCGUGCAGCCGGGAAGACAAGUCAGAUGUGAAAUCCCGCGGCUCAACCGCGGAACUGCAUUUGAAACUGUUUUUCUUGAGUAUCGGAGAGGUAAUCGGAAUUCCUGGUGUAGCGGUGAAAUGCGUAGAUAUUAGGAAGAACCCCAGUGGCGAAGGCGGAUUACUGGACGACAACUGACGCUGAGGCACGAAGGCCAGGGGAGCGAAAGGGAUUAGAUACCCGAGUAGUC